AUCAACUUUCGAUGGUAGGAUAGAGGCCUACCAUGGUGGUAACGGGUAACGGGGUGUUAGGGCACGACACCGGAGAGGGAGCCUGAGAAACGGCUACCACAUCCAAGGAUGGCAGCAGGCGCGCAAAUUACCCAAUCCCGACACGGGGAGGUAGUGACAAUAAAUAACAAUACGGGGUUCUUUCGGAUUUCGUAAUUGGAAUGAGUACAAUUUAAAUCUCUUAACGAGGAACAAUUGGAGGGCAAGUCUGGUGCCAGCAGCCGCGGUAAUUCCAGCUCCAAUAGCGUAUAUUAAAGUUGCUGCAGUUAAAAAGCUCGUAGUUGAAUUUCGGGACCAAUAUGUCGGUCGUGCCUCGGCACGUACUGGCAUCGUUGGUUUCUCCCUUCUGACGAACCAUGAUGUCAUUUAUUUGGUGUCGUGGGAAAUCAGGACUGUUACUUUGAAAAAAUUAGAGUGUUUAAAGCAGGCUCACGCUUGAAUACAUUAGCAUGGAAUAAUGAAAUAGGACGUUUGAUUCUAUUUUGUUGGUUUCUAGGAUUGACGUAAUGAUUAAUAGGGAUAGUUGGGGGCAUUAGUAUUCAAUUGUCAGAGGUGAAAUUCUUGGAUUUAUUGAAGACUAACUACUGCGAAAGCAUUUGCCAAGGAUGUUUUCAUUAAUCAAGAACGAAAGUUAGGGGAUCGAAGACNAUCAGAUACCGUCGUANUCUUAACCAUAAACUAUGCCGACUAGGGAUCGGAUGAUGUUAAUUUUUUAAUGACUCAUUCGGCGCCUUACGGGAAACCAAAGUGUUUGGGUUC
rnacentral:rRNA from 1 species